AGAAUGAACGCGCUACGGCAAGAGAGAGAGCAAGUUAGUGUUAAUUAGAUGAAGAGUGGAUACAACUGUAUUUUGUUUUGAGUUAUUGAUUCUGAAAGGUAUCCGCGUCUGUAAGGGACUUCGCCGUUUUAUCCUGUUUUUGUCGAGAGAAAACUCCGUGGUCUCUCCCCACCUCUCCACGCCUCCUGAUCAUCACACCUGUAUGAAAUCAUCUCAUUACCUUCACAUGGUCUCCAGAGUAAACAUACCCUGGCUCUUCACACCAUCUUCAUCAGAUUGUCCGUGUAUCCUUCAUGGUAAUUAAGCGCAUGAAUCCUUUACAAAAGUGAAGGCUCAAGGAUUCCUGAACCAGUGUAAAACGUCGGGUUUGAAGGUGUCGUCUGCAGCAGAGCUUCUUCCCUCUGAGCCUGAGAAGUUGUUAGACACCUGUUCACUGUGCCUCGGCAGUUCAGCACAGAGAGGAGUGAAGAAGAGCAGCUGAUGUUUGGAGCAGACAGUUGGAACCGUGGAUUGCUGAGCUCAGUACACAGAACACAGGUGCAUGCAACUGACGUCAACCAACCCCACUUUUCCAAACUAUUCCUGUAAAGGUAAGGUCAAAGAAAAGUCAUAAGGUGACUGAAAUAAACAUAAGUUUGGUCACACAGAUAUAUAUAUCCGCCGUUUGGCCCAGUUAAUACAAGGUUUAGUGCCACAGAUGGUCUAAAAAAAAUUUAAAUAAAAUGUCAUGGCUAAGUAGAGUAAAUCCAGUCAUUUGCAGUACACAGGAAUGACACUCACCACUAUAUCCACAGACUCUCCACCAUAUUUAUUCUGGACACUCAUGGUAUAUCUGCCAGAAUCCUCCAUACAUACGCCUUUGAUCGUCAGACUGGCAAACCUGCCCUGGUCCAGGGAGACCGUGUACUGAAAUAGGAAAUCAAAGGUUACACAAAAGUGAAAAGGCAGCAUGGGGACUGUGUGGGAUACUUUAACAUUUUUAAUGCCUGCCACUUAAAAUUGUAUUUCAUAAUGGGUUUUUUCUCUUUUUACUCUGUGCAGUAGUUUGGGGGGUUUGAUUGACAACUCCUCUCAGCAAACACUGAGCACUGCUCACACUGGACACAGAGAAUAUUGAUUUAUUUCAGUCUGUUCUGUUCGGCUGAGCCCUUGUAGCUCAAUCUAUACAUUAAAGGAAAUUAAUGACUAUUUAAACAAACCUAUCUCUGCGUACAGUCUCCAGAGUUGUGACAUUAUCUUUAAGAGGACUCGUAGUCUGACUUGUCUGACUUCACUGGUGUGGACAAGAACACAAUAUUUCAAUUUCCCCGUCUCAUACCUGCCCACUCAAUUCCAUUCAACGUCUGGGAAACAAGUGCCAUUAAAGUGAGUGGCAUUUGUAGCGAGCUAAUUACAUCCCUGUUAAGAGAAAAGUCAUUUAAUGCUGGGAAACUAAAAACCAAAUAAAUUCAAGCAAAAAAUGAAAUGUGUGUUUCUUUUUCAAACGGUCUUGUUCGACCAGUUAAAGGUUACUAACACAAUAGGUGAGUACAUCAUUUAUAAGAGUUUUAUCUCUUUUUCUACUUUUACCUUUUUAUAGGACAUUUUUAAUUUUGUAUUAUUUUGGGUUUUGGUUUGCAGACUGCUGUUUUGAACCCUCUGAUCUUUUUUCCUUUCUUUUUAAAUAAGAUUUUUUCAGAGUUUAGGCCUGUGCCUGAGAGCUUGUCCACAGCAAAUUCAACUACACCUGCACCUACAGAGAAGUACUACUUGACAAUCACGGCACAGCCUGCCCUGCUUUAUCAGUUAUCAGUACAGGUUACAGACAUUGGCUUCAGUUUCUGUACCUGUAUUCUGUCCAAUUUUACAGUCUAUGCUUUGAUUGGUUUGAAUUUUGCCUUUU